AACAGGAUUAGAUACCCUGGUAGUCCACGCCGUAAACGAUGUCGACUUGGAGGUUGUGCCCUUGAGGCGUGGCUUCCGGAGCUAACGCGUUAAGUCGACCGCCUGGGGAGUACGGCCGCAAGGUUAAAACUCAAAUGAAUUGACGGGGGCCCGCACAAGCGGUGGAGCAUGUGGUUUAAUUCGAUGCAACGCGAAGAACCUUACCUACUCUUGACAUCCAGAGAACUUGGCAGAGAUGCUUUGGUGCCUUCGGGAACUCUGAGACAGGUGCUGCAUGGCUGUCGUCAGCUCGUGUUGUGAAAUGUUGGGUUAAGUCCCGCAACGAGCGCAACCCCUAUCCUUUGUUGCCAGCGAUUCGGUCGGGAACUCAAAGGAGACUGCCGGUGAUAAACCGGAGGAAGGUGGGGAUGACGCCAAGUCAUCAUGGCCCUUACGAGUAGGGCUACACACGUGCUACAAUGGCGCAUACAAAGAGAAGCGACCUCGCGAGAGCAAGCGGACCUCAUAAAGUGCGUCGUAGUCCGGAUCGGAGUCUGCAACUCGACUCCGUGAAGUCGGAAUCGCUAGUAAUCGUAGAUCAGAAUGCUACGGUGAAUACGUUCCCGGGCCUUGUACACACCGCCCGUCACACCAUGGGAGUGGGUUGCAAAAGAAGUAGAUAGCUUAACCUUCGGGAGGGCGCUUACCACUUUGUGAUUCAUGACUGGGGUGAAGUCGUAACAAGGUAACC
rnacentral:rRNA from 1 species